rnacentral:rRNA from 1 species
GACGAACGCUGGCGGCGUGCUUAACACAUGCAAGUCGAACGGAAAGGCCCUGCUUUUGUGGGGUGCUCGAGUGGCGAACGGGUGAGUAACACGUGAGUAACCUGCCCUUGACUUUGGGAUAACUUCAGGAAACUGGGGCUAAUACCGGAUAGGAGCUCCUGCUGCAUGGUGGGGGUUGGAACGUUUCGGCGGUUGGGGAUGGACUCGCGGCUUAUCAGCUUGUUGGUGGGGUAGUGGCUUACCAAGGCUUUGACGGGUAGCCGGCCUGAGAGGGUGACCGGCCACAUUGGGACUGAGAUACGGCCCAGACGCCUACGGGAGGCAGCAGUGGGGAAUAUUGCACAAUGGGCGGAAGCCUGAUGCAGCAACGCCGCGUGCGAUGACGGCUUUCGGGGUGUAAACCGCUUUCGCCUGUGACGAAGCGGGAGUGACGGUAAUGGGUAAAGAAGCACCGGCUAACUACGUG